CAAAGAACUUUGAAGAGAGAGUUCAAGAGGGCGUGAAACCGUUUGGAAGGAAACGGAUAGAGCCGACGAUAGUCGGCGGGAUUCAGUCUGCUGGUCGAGAUUCGAACGGGUUCGCGGACCAAUCGCCGCGGCUCGCGCGAGUUCGCGGCCGGCGGAUGCAUUUCCCGUCGACGCGCGUCGAGGGCGGCGGACGCGCGGAACGAACCCCGGGUUGCCGGCCCCGUUCGCGGGGUGUCCCUCUCGGGCGGAGAUCCGUCGAGUUCGCCGAUCAAACGACGUCGGCCUUCGCGGCGCGGUAGUCGGGCUACUCGGCCGAACGAAUCUGGGCAUCGAGCUCGCUCGGCGUCCUAACCCUCGGUCGGGUGUGUCUGGCGAUCCGAACGGCGUCGGCCUCGGCGUAAAAGUCGGCGACCUAUCCGACCCGUCUUGAAACACGGACCAAGGAGUCUAACGCGUGCGCGAGUCACUGGGCGGCAAACCCAAAGGCGCAAUGAAAGUGAAAGCCGGCUCGAUCGGCCGAUACGGGAGCCUCGUUCCGCGGGGCGCACCGUAGCCCCGUCUCGUCUGCUCGUCAGAGGGGCGGAGGAAGAGCGUACGCGCUGGGACCCGAAAGAUGGUGAACUAUGCCUGAGCAGGACGAAGCCAGAGGAAACUCUGGUGGAGGUCCGAAGCGGUUCUGACGUGCAAAUCGAUCGUCAGACUUGGGUAUAGGGGCGAAAGACUAAUCGAACCAUC
rnacentral:rRNA from 1 species